rnacentral:rRNA from 1 species
GUCUACAGCUAUACCACCCUGAACACGCCCAAUCUUGUCUGAUAUGGAAGCUAAGCAGGGUUGGGCCUGGUUAGUACUUGGAUGGGAGAAGGCUUGGGAAUACCCAAUGCUGUGGGCU